rnacentral:miRNA from 12 species
CAGUACUUGUGUUAUACUUUCG